rnacentral:rRNA from 1 species
AUGAUGAGAGCUUGCUCUCUGAUUUUAGCGGCGGACGGGUGAGUAACACGUGGGCAACCUGCCCUACAGAUGGGGAUAACUCCGGGAAACCGGGGCUAAUACCGAAUAAACAGUUUGUCCGCAUGGACAAACUCUGAAAGACGGUUUCGGCUGUCACUGUAGGAUGGGCCCGCGGCGCAUUAGCUAGUUGGUGGGGUAAUGGCCUACCAAGGCAACGAUGCGUAGCCGACCUGAGAGGGUGAUCGGCCACACUGGGACUGAGACACGGCCCAGACUCCUACGGGAGGCAGCAGUAGGGAAUCUUCCACAAUGGACGAAAGUCUGAUGGAGCAAUGCCGCGUGAGCGAAGAAGGUUUUCGGA